rnacentral:rRNA from 1 species
GAUGAACGCUAGCGGCAGGCUUAAUACAUGCAAGUUGAGGGGCAGCAUGAUAUACGCGAGUAUAUUGAUGGCGACCGGCGGACGGGUGAGUAAUAGGUAGGAGACCUACCUCAUACAGGGGGAUAGCAUAGAGAAAUCUGUGGUAAUACCCCAUGAGGUUAUAUGAAUAGAGGCAUAUAAUCAAAGCAUAAGCGAUUAUGCGGUAUGAGAGGGGCCUACUGACCAUUAGCUAGUUGGUGAGGUAAGGGCUCACCAAGGCGAAGAUGGUUAGGGGUUUUGAGAGAGAGACCCCCCACAUUGGAACUGAGAGACGGUCCAGACUCCUACGGGAGGCAGCAGUAGGGAAUAUUGGGCAAUGGGCGAAAGCCUGACCCAGCCAUGCCGCGUGAAGGAAGACGGCCUUAUGGGUUGUAAACUUCUUUACUACGCGAAUAGAGGUUAGUACGAGAUACUAAUAGGAGGUAGUGUAGUAAAAGCACCGGCUAACUCCGUG